GACUACAAAUAGCUGAGUUGGUAGAGCAUAAGGCUCUUAAUCCCAGGGUCACGGGUUCGAACCCGUGUUGGGCA